GAAGUAACAUUAUUCUGUUGGCAUGUAUGAUUUGUUAGGUGAUCUAAGCCUAUUUUGGAAGCAUUUUGCAAAGCUUCAGUUAAAGGUUUUCAUAACAAGUAUAUAAUGUACUAAAAUUUAGGCCAAAAUUGUGCAGGGAGUUCUUAACAGGGUAUGAAGCUAAAGCUAAAUCAGAUUUCUUGUUGUUUUAAUCAUACUUACAGAGUUUUCUCUGUAUAUCCCAACAGGAAAAAUUACCUCAUUGUGAUAGUAACAAAUGAUAUUUGUUAUUUCCCGUUUUGCAUCUGAAGAGGGGGUGGGGGUGGCCAACAUCAUGUCAUGACCUGUGCCAGCCGUGUUGUACAUUUCUCCUGCUUUUUGUGAGAUACAAAUAUUUAUAUCAUGCAAAGGCUUUGCUUUUCUACUCAGAAUUCUGUGCUUAGAAGACCACAGACAUUAAGUGAUAAUAAACAGCACAGUUUGAGUCCUGUGGCCACUCUGGAUGAUCAAGUUGAGUUGGACUGCAAGAAAGCAAGUGCUUGUUUAACACAUGUAUGAUAUAAUUAAGGAAAGACUCUAGGGAAAUUAUCCAAAGCACAUAAGAAUCAAAUAGACUCACUUUAACAAAUAUAAAAACUCUGUUCACAUAAAAGCUUUCUGUGGCUUUGUAAGGGCUCAUAUUGGAAAAAAAUGGGGGAGAGGAAUAGAUAUUAUAAUUCAUUCUGAAACUAUAUAACAUAAGUAAAUGAACAAUAAAAGUGAUAAAUUGGGCAAUAAAAAAUUAUAGAAAUAAUGCUGUCACAUACCAGGUAUUCGUUAAAUUGACUUCUCAAUGUAAUUACUUUAACAUUUCUACUUCUGAUUCAGUACAGAUUUUUGGAUCAUUAAGUACGAUAGUAAAUAUUAUACAUUUUUCAGGAAAAUAAUUUAUGGCCUAACAAAUUUUCCAACAGAAAAUCCCAAAGUCGGACAACCAGACUAGCAUUUUUUGUAGUCAAUUUUUGGACUUAAUUCUUCAAAACAGUUUCAACAAAUCGGUAUUGCACACCUGCUAUGCACUAAAUAUAGUGUGGUAAACUAGCACAUAAUAGACAUAUGGCAAUUGUUUCAGGUACUCCUGUAUUUCCAGGGGAUUUUGUGGAUAUACUUUAUACUUUAUAUAAUAUACACUCUAUGCAUGAUAUAAUAAUUUCUUUGGGUAUGACGUUUUUAUUCCCAACUGUGAUGGCACCAUCACUGCCUCUAAGGAAUGCACAAUUUAAAAAGAAAACCAUAUAUACAACUAAAUAUCGACAAAGUACUGUAAAAAGACAGAUGAUUCCACUGGGUGACUAUAGUC
rnacentral:lncRNA from 1 species